rnacentral:sRNA from 1 species
UACAUUGAUGGAAAUGUAUGGAAAGCAUACAGUUGGACCGAGAAACUAAUUCUCAAUCGCAAUCCUCUGACUACUGUCGAAGAUCCAUAUCUCUUUGAACUGCCGGCAUUAAAAUAUCUAGACAUGGGAACAACACACAUCACACUUACAACACUUAAGAACAUUCUCACGAUAACUGUUGAACUGGAAAAACUGAUCUUACCUAGCCAUAUGGUCUGCUGCCUCUGCCAAUUUAAAAAUAGCAUUGAGGCUGUCUCCAAGACAGUCAAGCUGCAUUGCAACACUGCAUGUCUGACUAACAGCAUACAUUGUCCUGAAGAAGCAUCUGUAGGCAAUCCAGAAGGAGCGUUCAUGAAGAUGUUACAAGCCCGGAAGCAGCACAUGAGCACUGAGCUGACUAUUGAGUCGGAGGCGCCCUCAGACAGCAGUGGCAUCAACUUGUCAGGCUUUGGGAGUGAGUAGCUAGACACCAAUGACGAGAGUGAUGUUAGCAGUGCACUAAGUUACAUCUUGCCUUAUCUCUCACUGGGAAAUCUAGGUGCAGAAUCAAUGUUGUUACCGUUCACUGAACAGCUAUUUUCA